AUGUGUAGUUGUUCUCCCCAUCACCGGGCCUCCCCCAGGCAGCACAGGGGAGACGUCCGGCGUGCCCUGCGGAUGUCUGCAAGAUGGACGGAAAUGCUGGACUCAGAGGCUGUAUGGCCGAGGAACCAGGGGAACGGAGGUGCCCCUCUUCUUGGUGGGGACCCCUGGAGGCUUCCUUCGUACCAGCAGCCCAGGGGCCCUGUGGUCUCUAGGCUCUGUGUACGUGCCCCCCUCAGGAGCUGCCGAGGGGCUGGGGGUCCUAGCCCAGGUUCCUCAGCGCCCCCCACCCUGAAGGCCAGAGUCCUUGUACUCACUCUGCUGCCACCCCCCCCUCCAGGUCCUAUCCAUCCUGCCCCUCUGCUGCCCCGCACUUCUGAGCAUCUUACCUGGACUCCUCUACCUACCUACGUGAAUGUCCUGGGGCUGUGGGGACAAGUGACCACACAUCUGGUGGCUUGGGACAACACAGAUCUCUCUACUCCCAGGUCUGGAGGCCAGAAGCCAGGUGGUGAGCCCCCGGCCCUGCACCUUCCUGAGCUGUUUCUCCUGCCAGAGCUGGGCCUGGGGGAGCACCUCACAGUCCCCUCCUCUGCUCAGCUCUCCCAGCUCAGGGAGGGCAGCUCUGCUGGCAUCUUCCAGCCCCUGCCAGAAAUGGGGGCGGCUGAGACCCCGGGCCCUCCCUGCAGCCUGAGGCGGAAGCCGCCAAGCUCCGCCCAGCAAUGCCUGUGUCCCCCUGGAGUGCCCAGUCCACCCAGGGCUGGCUCCAGGCUGGUGGGCAGCGGGGAGGGCCACGUGGGCAGCCCUGCCUGGACCAAGGCUUUGGGAAGGAAGGUUCUCCCCAUGUUCCGGAAGCAGAGGCCAAGCCCCAAGGAGAUUCAGAGACAGGACUGCCUUCCCCGGGCUCCUGAAAGCCCCCAGCCCGGGUGGGAGGAAAGAGCCCAUGGAGGGGGUGGGGAGGGAUCUGCCCCGUUUCUCCAGGAGCCCGGCUGGGCCAGGCAGGCCUGCUGGGUUGACAGGGAAAGUAACAUCCGGCCGUCACCGUCACUGAGCUGA
rnacentral:lncRNA from 12 species